AGCAAAUAUUUUGAAACUGUAUUAGUCAGACAAUUCAUUUGAUAUAUGAAAGGUUUCAGUACUUUAGGCUCUCCUUUAAUGAUGCAAAUAGCAUAUUUUGGGUUGAAUUUCAUGACCACAUAUAAGAAUUAACGGAUGGCACUAGUCAAUUUUUCAGGUAUUUCAAGCAGCCAUUAUUUUCAGAAUUUCUAUCAGAGUGGGCAUUAUCUAUCUAAAGCCCCCUGUGCCCUCCCAUAUUCUGAUUUAUGUAGACAUAUGUGGUUAGAGGAAGCCUUUCCACAUUCAACUCCAAGGAGACAAAUAUCAGCCAAUCAGUACUUUCAAUUCUUGGCCACAGAUACUGGUGUGCUGUGAUAAUGUGACCUAACCCUGCCCCCUCAGUUAUUCUCAGUUUUUGAACAAUGUGUAUUACAGUAGACAUAAUGCCUAAAAUCAGUGAGGCAACCCACCUGAAAUUAAAGCCAACUCACAGAGGACUCGAAAGACCUAGAAAUCCUUAGAGAGCCAGGUGAGAGCCACUGUGAUGAGGCUGGCUCUCCCUCUGCAUUUACAUUUAUGUGAACCAACAAAUGAUCCUUCUUUUAAAAAAUGGUUUGUUUGUUUUUUCUUGUUUGCAACCUAAAAAAAUGUAUACUUUUGGGCUGAGGAUGAGGCUCAAGCAGUAGCGCGCUGGCCUGGCAUGCGUGCGGCCCGGGUUCAAUCCUCAGCACCCAUACAAAAGAUAUUGUGUCCACCAAUAACUAAAAAAAUAAAUAAAUAUUGAAAUUCUCUCUCUCUUUCUCUCUCUC
rnacentral:lncRNA from 1 species